rnacentral:rRNA from 1 species
UACGUAGGUGGCAAGCGUUAUCCGGAUUUACUGGGUGUAAAGGGAGCGUAGACGGCCAUUCAAGCCAGAUGUGAAAGCCCGGGGCUCAACCCCGGGACUGCAUUUGGAACUGUAUGGCUGGAGUGUCGGAGAGGCAGGCGGAAUUCCUAGUGUAGCGGUGAAAUGCGUAGAUAUUAGGAGGAACGCCAGUGGCGAAGGCGGCCUGCUGGACGAUGACUGACGUUGAGGCUCGAAAGCGUGGGGAGCAAACAGG